rnacentral:misc_RNA from 1 species
CACUUCUCUGAUUCUACUGUUAUAACCAUUGCACAUCGGAUAACUUCCGUUCUUGACAGUUACAUGGUUCUGCUUCUGAGUGAUGGUCUGAUCGAGGAAUAUGAUUCUCCAACAAGAUUGUUGCAGAACAAGUCAUCUUCAUUUGCACGACUUGUAUCCGAGUACGCAAUGAGGUCAAACACAAGUAUUCAGAAGUAGCCUGAUUGAAUCACAAAAGCGUCUUGUGAAACACAAUUCAGCUGCAAUAAUUUUCCUGAUGAAGAUUGAAGUCAAGUGGGGGA